rnacentral:lncRNA from 1 species
GUCAGCUCUACUGUCAUGUAUAUCUAAAAAGAACAAAUUUAACAACAAAAAGCCCCUGUUGGUCAAGCUCACAAAACCAAGCUUGGUACAUAUAAAUCACUUCCAAGACCCUCUUUCCUCUCCUAUUCUUUAGAGAUAGCACCCCCCAAAGCUGGCUGAUAACUGGUACUGGAAGAGCCUUUCCUGUCCAGUUAAUGACACUGGUCAAUUCUGCUCAAAAUACUUGUCAGAGAGGAAUAGAUGAGGAGUAGUUGACUCUUGGUGCCUUCCCAAAUGGCCCCUCAGGUUAAAUGGUGAAUGGAUUGGGGCUUCAAGAAGAUUUUGCUCUUUCUUCUCUUUAGGGGUCAGUCAUACGUGGAAUUUCCAGGGAACCUGAACUCUGGGAUGGGUUUCCCCACCUGUCUGUGUUAAAUCUUUUUAUAGUAUAGACUUUUUGUUUGUUUGUUUUUCUAUUUCCAGUAUCGGGAAUCAAACCACUGCUUUACCACUGAGCUCUAUCUCCAUUCCCUUUUUAAAAAAAAUUUUGAAUUCUUUAAAAAGAGUCUAAGUUGCAUAGGGCCUCACUGAGUUGUGGAGGCUGGCCACCUCAAACUUGAGAUCCUUCUGACUUAGCCUCCUAACUCAGAUUACCUGUGUGUCCUACUGCGCCCAGGCACAGUGUACAAUCUUGGUAUAGGUUCUUUGGGUGUUUCUUCAGGUUUGAAGUAUUGGCUGCUUUUAUAACUGCAAUUUAAAAGCUAGGUGCAACAUGGCACUCAUUAAAUGAUAAAGCAAGGAUAGUUUUUUUGAUAAUCUUAUUAACUUUUCAUCUAACCAAAAUGUCUG